UAAAAAAUGAAUGCAGUGAGGAAAACGAGCAGACAGAUGGAAAAAAAUGACAGGCUUUACCCUGUACUGAGUAAGGAGGUCAUUCCUAACCGCCCCACCCACCACUCUGCUUUAUCUUUCACCUGAAGGGAACCAUGAAGAAAAAGGACUGAGAAGAAAACAGAGAAAGGUUUUGACCCUGGGCCACUGGCUGUGACUUGUGAACAACCUUCAUCUCCAAAAAGUCACUUCUCGUCCUCCUGAUCAGCCUUGGGUGAACACACACUACCAACAAUAUGCUACCUUAGGCCACUUCCUUCCUCCAGAGUUUUCAAGGCAACAGAACCAUGGGCUCAACCCACCCAUCCAACCCACCUAACUUCACUGUGGAUGAAAGAAUAAGCAGUCCCUGGCUGUGGCUGAAAAUGGAGUCACCUCUCGGACCCCGGGGACCCCAGGAAGCAGGCGGAUUUCUGGAAUCCACUCCCGCUAUCAGCUCCCCAUGAGCUCAGGCCUGUGACUGACAGGGACAGACACAGAAACGGACACAUGAGGAGGACUUGUGCCUGAGGAUUCCAAACUGUCCUGCUGGCAAAAGAC